ensembl:snRNA U4 U4 spliceosomal RNA
GCUUUUGUGCAGUGACAGUAUCGUAGCCCAUGAGGUUUACCUAAGGCGUGAUAAUUCCUAAUUCAAAACUUUCCCCAAUACCUUGCCAUGACAUCUUGAAAAUAGAUUCCAUUUUUAUAGUUUUUUUAAGUUUAGGGCAAA